UACGAGUGCCUCGAGCGUUAUCCGGAAUUAUUGGGCGUAAAGGGUGCGUAGGUGGUUGUGUUAGUCUUGUGUUAAAUUUCUUGGCUCAACCGAGAAGCUGCACGGGAAACGGCACGACUUAGAGGUCGGAAGGGGUCUGCGGAACUCAUAGUGUAGCGGUGAAAUGCGUUGAUAUUAUGGGGAACACCAAAAGCGAAGGCAGCAGACUGGUCCGUACCUGACACUGAGGCACGAAAGCGUGGGUCGCGAAUGGG
rnacentral:rRNA from 1 species